UACGAAGGGGGCUAGCGUUGUUCGGAUUUACUGGGCGUAAAGCGCGCGUAGGCGGAUUGUUAAGUCAGGGGUGAAAUGCCGGGGCUCAACCUCGGAACUGCCCUUGAUACUGGCAAUCUGGAGUUCGGGAGAGGUGAGUGGAAUUCCGAGUGUAGAGGUGAAAUUCGUAGAUAUUCGGAGGAACACCAGAAGCGAAGGCGGCUCACUGGCCCGAUACUGACGCUGAGGCGCGAAAGCGUGGGGAGCAAACAGG
rnacentral:misc_RNA from 1 species